CUCGUGUCGUGAGAUGUUGGUUAAGUCCCGCAACGAGCGCAACCCUCGACCUUAGUUGCCAGCAUUCAGUUGGGCACUCUAAGGUGACUGCCGGCUAAAAGUCGGAGGAAGGUGGGGAUGACGUCAAAUCAUCAUGCCCCUUAUGACCUGGGCUACACACGUGCUACAAUGGGCGGUACAAAGGGUCGCGAACCCGCGAGGGGGGAGCCAAUCCCAAAAAGCCGCUCUCAGUUCGGAUUGCAGGCUGCAACUCGCCUGCAUGAAGCCGGAAUCGCUAGUAAUCGCGGAUCAGCACGCCGCGGUGAAUACGUUCCCGGGCCUU
rnacentral:rRNA from 1 species